GCCGGAGUGGCGGAAUGGCAGACGCGGUGGUCUCAAAAACCUCUGGGCAACCCCCGUGUGGGUUCGAAUCCCACCUCCGGCACCA
rnacentral:tRNA from 1 species